GAUGAACGCUGGCGGCGUGCCUAAUACAUGCAAGUCGAGCGAACAGACGAGGAGCUUUCCCUUCUGACGUUAGCGGCCGAAGGGUGAGUAAAACGUGGAUAACCUACCUAUAAGACUGGGAUAACUUCGGGAAACCGGAGCUAAAACCGAGUAAUAUAUUGUACAACAUGGUAAAAUCGUGAAAGACGGUUUUGCUAGUACUUAUAGAUGGAUCUGCGCCUCAUUAGCUAGUUGGUAAGGUAACGGUUUACCAAGGCAACGAUGGGUAGCCGACCUGAGAGGGUGAUAGGCCACACUGGAACGGAGACACGGUCCAGACUCCUACGGGAGGCAGCAGUAGGAAAUCUUCCGCAAAGGGCGAAAUCUUGACGGAGCAACGCCGCGUGAGUGAUGAAGGUCUUCGGAUCGUGAAACUCUGUUAUUAGGGAAGAAGAAAUGUGUAAGUAACUAGGAACAUCUUGACGGUACCUAAUCAGAAAGCCACGGCUAACUACGUG
rnacentral:rRNA from 1 species